rnacentral:rRNA from 1 species
UACAGAGGGGGCAAGCGUUGUUCGGAAUUACUGGGCGUAAAGGGCGCGUAGGCGGUCCGUUAAGUUAGAUGUGAAAACUCUGGGCUCAACCCAGAGCCUGCAUCUAAUACUGACGGGCUAGAGUUCUGGAGGGGGUAGCGGAAUUCCUGGUGUAGCGGUGAAAUGCGUAGAGAUUUGGAGGAACACCAGUGGCGAAGGCGACUAUCUGGUCUGUAACUGACACUGAGGCGCGAAAGCGUGGGGAGCAAACAGG